GAGCUGUGAAAUGUUUUGUAAGUGCCAUGU
rnacentral:piRNA from 1 species